GUCUUCAUCUGGUAGCGGUAUUAUCGUGGGUUGCUGCAACUUGCAGGCUCCCGAAGCCAAUGCCAACAAUGUGGGUGCUUGCCUUCUGCUUGCAGCUGCUGCUCAUCUUGACUCAUCCUCCAGCAGCUCAGGUUACCUGGACAAG
rnacentral:lncRNA from 1 species